AUUGAACGCUGGCGGCAGGCCUAACACAUGCAAGUCGAACGAGUGGCGGACGGGUGAGUAAUGUGUGGGAAACUGACCGAUGAAGGGGGAUAACUACUGGAAAAGGGAGCUAAAAACGCAUACCAUCGGCUAUGCCCAGAGGGGAUUAGCUGGAUGGUGGGGUAACGGCUCACCUAGGCGACGAUCCCUAGCUGGCCUGAGAGGAUGACCAGCCACACUGGAACUGAGACACGGUCCAGACUCCUACGGGAGGCAGCAGUUGGGAAUCUUGCACAAUGGGCGAAAGCCUGAUGCAGCCAUGCCGCGUGUAUGAUGAAGGCCUUCGGAUUGUAAAGUACUUUCAUCGAGGAGGCGGUACUUGCACAAAAAGCCCCGGCUAACUCCGUGCCAGCAGCCGCGGUAAUAC
rnacentral:rRNA from 1 species